AUGGCCACUAUGAGGAAAGGCAGUCUGGAAACUUCACCAGGAGGACAAAUUGUUGUGCGCAUCAACUUCACGGUGUCUUUCCCCCCACCAUUUGUUCACUCUUCCACCUCACCGGAUUACUUCUUGCUACCUGCGAAACGUGCCCUAAGCAAUUCCAAGAAGAAAUCGAGGAAAAGAGGCUGUAGGGCCGGCAUCCAGGUACACAUCAGACGAGCCUACAGAUCGGAGAUUUCCCGACUCGUCUGGAGGCGCCCCCGUUUUCUGUUGCCAGUUACCCUUCCGGAUUUGAUUGGAAACACGUACUUGCUUCCACUACAGCGUGGAUCCUGCCCAUCUGAUGCUCUGGAUUUUGCCGAUUAUCUCCCCACCGCUGCGCCCUCACAGCCCGCAUCGCACAACUGGUGGUUGGCCCCGCCGGUUCCGUGGCGCCGCUGGAGACCUCGCAUGCGGACACGGUGUUUGCUGUCUAUCCCACUCCGACAAGCUGAUGGGAAACCUGCACUGCCAGCUUUUACUCGGAUUGCGCUCUUGAACGCUCGCUCCAUCGCAAACAAAUCCUUCUCCCUGAAUGAGCUCUUCACAAGGAAAAGCCUGGACUUUCUGUUUCUCACUGAAACAUGGCAGAGGGAUGGCGAAUUUAUUCACCUAAACGAACUGCGUCCUGCAGACUGCUCUUACUUGGGCGCCCCCCGUUUAGGUCGCCGUGGUGGAGGUCUUGCUGUUGUCUUUAAGGACAGCUUCACCUGCAGAGGUAUGCAAACUGAAAACUAUUCUUCCUUUGAGUCGCAAACAAUUAAGGUGGGCUCUACGAACAUCUUUUAUUGUGUUUUAGUCUAUCGCCCUCCUGGCCCUGCUACUGAGUUCUUAAAGGAUUUUAUGGACUUCUUAUCUUCUAUUAUCAAGCUGGAGAAAGCUUUGAUUCUUGGGGAUUUUAACAUUCAUAUUGAUGAUGCCUCAUCUAACUCUGCAGCUGAACUUUUAUCUAUAUCUGAUUCUUUUAACUUUGUCCAACAUGUCUCCGGUCCAACCCAUUUAAAAGGCCAUACCUUGGACCUUGUUUUUUCCUUGGGCCUCAACAUUGGCAAUGUGUUUGCUGAGGAUGUACAUUUGAGUGAUCAUAACUGUAUCUUUGCUGAACUUAAUUUUACCUCUAAACAGACGCCUGUGAAGUUAAAAACUCAUAGACGCAUAAUAACUGAGACUACUGCUGAGAGGUUCUCCAUUAUGUUUGAUAGGUCUCCACUUUUUACCGGAAAUGAUGUAAAUGUUCUUAUUCAGUCUUUUAAUAGGGAAUGCACAUCCAUUUUGGAUCAAGUGGCACCUAUUAAAACAAGCUCGGCUUUACAAAAGAAGACAUGCCCUUGGAUAAAUGAGUCUAUCUUAAACUUAAGGAGAAUAUGCCGCAAAAUAGAACGACUAUGGAAGAAAACCAAACUUGACGUACACAGGCUCCAUCUUCGAGAUCUCAUGCUCUCCUUAAACAACAUGGUGAGAACUGUUAGAUCUGAAUAUUUUUCUAGACUCAUAACAAAAAACAAGAGAAAUCCCAAGUUUCUUUUUGACAAAGUUAGUGCUAUUGUCUCCCCAGAUGUGGUACCUUUAGAUGUACACUCU
rnacentral:lncRNA from 1 species